rnacentral:rRNA from 1 species
UUGAACGCUGGCGGAAUGCUUUACACAUGCAAGUCGAGCGGCAGCGCGGGGGCAACCUUGGCGGCGAGCGGCGAACGGGUGAGUAAUACAUCGGAACGUGCCCGAGAGUGGGGGAUAACGCAGCGAAAGCUGUGCUAAUACCGCAUACGAUCUACGGAUGAAAGCAGGGGACCGCAAGGCCUUGCGCUCAUGGAGCGGCCGAUGGCAGAUUAGGUAGUUGGUGGGAUAAAAGCUUACCAAGCCGACGAUCUGUAGCUGGUCUGAGAGGACGACCAGCCACACUGGGACUGAGACACGGCCCAGACUCCUACGGGAGGCAGCAGUGGGGAAUUUUGGACAAUGGGCGAAAGCCUGAUCCAGCCAUGCCGCGUGCAGGAUGAAGGCCUUCGGGUUGUAAACUGCUUUUGUACGGAACGAAAAGGUCUUUUCUAAUAAAGAAGGCUCAUGACGGUACCGUAAGAAUAAGCACCGGCUAACUACGU